CCAUCUUUGGAGAUAUGAUCGUGGCAUCAGAGCGAACUGCUGGCGGCAGGCCUAACACAUGCAAGUCGAACGCCCCUUCGGGGGAGUGGCGGACGGGUGAGUAACGCGUGGGAACGUGCCCUUUGGUACGGAACAACUGAGGGAAACUUCAGCUAAUACCGUAUGUGCCCUUCGGGGGAAAGAUUUAUCGCCAUUGGAGCGGCCCGCGUUGGAUUAGGUAGUUGGUGGGGUAAAGGCUCACCAAGCCUACGAUCCAUAGCUGGUCUGAGAGGAUGAUCAGCCACACUGGGACUGAGACACGGCCCAGACUCCUACGGGAGGCAGCAGUGGGGAAUCAUUGCGCAAUGGGCGAAAGCCUGACGCAGCCAUGCCGCGUGUAGUGAUGAAGGUCUUAGGAUUGUAAAAUACUUUCACCGGGGAAGAUAAUGACUGUACCCGGAGAAGAAGCCCCGGCUAACUUC
rnacentral:rRNA from 1 species